rnacentral:lncRNA from 1 species
CCAAGGACUUGGGGCCAUCACUUCGUGUUUUAAGGAGCUCUCCUAGUGCCUGUGGUGUAUAUCAGCUUUGAAACAACCGAUGUAGGGUGAGAAGUUCAGAGCAGUCAUCUUGGCCUUUGGUGUCUCUUCCUUUGGACUGGGUACAUUUCCUGGAGACAAAUACUUGGAUCUAAUUUUUAAGCCUGUCAGCUAGUGUGCAUCCCUUUAUUGCCUCCAGUUCACACUGAUACCAGCAGCUUGCUGCCAUGCUUCCCUGCCACGAGAGACUCCUCCAUUGGGAACCAGAAGCUAAAUAAUCCCUCCCUUCUGUGCAUUGGCUUGGUUGCAGUUGUUUAUCACAGCAACAGAAAAGUAAUGAAUACAGCUGGAUAUAACAAUCCUUGUGGGCAGUCAUUUACUUCCAGGGCUUGAAAUAUAUAAUUUCUUUUCUA